UAAAGGUAAAACAUUUACAGAAAUAAAACUUUAAUUGGAAGGUUCCUGCUUUUUAAAAUGAUAAUCUAGUGUAUAACAUAGCAUAUAUUAUUACAUUUCAGUGUUAAAAUUAGGUUAAUUGUUAGACCACCUUGUUACAAACUGCCUUUUGUAACUGGUUUUUCGUGUGACAAAUUGCCCUGCUUCCCUAGGUUAUGGAGAAGCCUGUUGGCCAGUCUCCUACCAUGUGGCUAUAACUCGUUGAUUUAAUUGGCUUUAAAGCCCCUAUCCUACCUUCAGACAGACUAUUUAUGUAGGUUGCUUUAUUUCUAUUAUGUUUUAGUCACCCUGUACCCAUUAUAGGUGCAGGGUGUGUAUAAUGUAAUUGUUUAUAGUGUGUGUGUGUGUACUGUGAAGUGUAUUGCCUGCUCUCCUGUACUGCUGAGGUUUGCUACCAACUAGGUGGGUUUGGCUAUGGAGCUUGUCUAGUGCCCUCUGUUGGUAGCAACAGCAAUAUGCACUACCUG